rnacentral:tRNA from 1 species
GGGGGUAUAGCUUAGUGGUAGAGUACAUAGCUAGCACGCAUGAGGUCCUUCCUGGGCUCGAUCCCCAGUACAUCUA